rnacentral:rRNA from 1 species
AUAUCAAUAAGCGGAGGAAAAGAAACUAACAAGGAUUCCCCUAGUAACUGCGAGUGAAGCGGGAAAAGCUCAAAUUUGAAAUCUGGCGGCCUUUGACCGUCCGAGUUGUAAUCUAGAGAAGUGUUACCCGUGCUGGACUGUGUACAAGUCUCCUGGAAUGGGGCAUCAUAGAGGGUGAGAAUCCUGUCUUUGACACGGACUACCAGUGCACUGUGGGUGUC